AGAGAGCUUGCUCUCGGGUGACGAGCGGCGGACGGGUGAGUAAUGUCUGGGAAACUGCCUGAUGGAGGGGGAUAACUACUGGAAACGGUAGCUAAUACCGCAUAAUGUCGCAAGACCAAAGUGGGGGACCUUCGGGCCUCAUGCCAUCAGAUGUGCCCAGAUGGGAUUAGCUAGUAGGUGGGGUAACGGCUCACCUAGGCGACGAUCCCUAGCUGGUCUGAGAGGAUGACCAGCCACACUGGAACUGAGACACGGUCCAGACUCCUACGGGAGGCAGCAGUGGGGAAUAUUGCACAAUGGGCGCAAGCCUGAUGCAGCCAUGCCGCGUGUGUGAAGAAGGCCUUCGGGUUGUAAAGCACUUUCAGCGGGGAGGAAGGCGGUAAGGUUAAUAACCUUGUCGAUUGACGUUACCCGCAGAAGAAGCACCGGCUAACUCCGUGCCAGCAGCCGCGGUAAUACGGAGGGUGCAAGCGUUAAUCGGAAUUACUGGGCGUAAAGCGCACGCAGGCGGUCUGUCAAGUCGGAUGUGAAAUCCCCGGGCUCAACCUGGGAACUGCAUUCGAAACUGGCAGGCUAGAGUCUUGUAGAGGGGGGUAGAAUUCCAGGUGUAGCGGUGAAAUGCGUAGAGAUCUGGAGGAAUACCGGUGGCGAAGGCGGCCCCCUGGACAAAGACUGACGCUCAGGUGCGAAAGCGUGGGGAGCAAACAGGAUUAGAUACCCUGGUAGUCCACGCCGUAAACGAUGUCGAUUUGGAGGUUGUGCCCUUGAGGCGUGGCUUCCGGAGCUAACGCGUUAAAUCGACCGCCUGGGGAGUACGGCCGCAAGGUUAAAACUCAAAUGAAUUGACGGGGGCCCGCACAAGCGGUGGAGCAUGUGGUUUAAUUCGAUGCAACGCGAAGAACCUUACCUGGUCUUGACAUCCACAGAACUUUCCAGAGAUGGAUUGGUGCCUUCGGGAACUGUGAGACAGGUGCUGCAUGGCUGUCGUCAGCUCGUGUUGUGAAAUGUUGGGUUAAGUCCCGCAACGAGCGCAACCCUUAUCCUUUGUUGCCAGCGGUUCGGCCGGGAACUCAAAGGAGACUGCCAGUGAUAAACUGGAGGAAGGUGGGGAUGACGUCAAGUCAUCAUGGCCCUUACGACCAGGGCUACACACGUGCUACAAUGGCAUAUACAAAGAGAAGCGACCUCGCGAGAGCAAGCGGACCUCAUAAAGUAUGUCGUAGUCCGGAUUGGAGUCUGCAACUCGACUCCAUGAAGUCGGAAUCGCUAGUAAUCGUAGAUCAGAAUGCUACGGUGAAUACGUUCCCGGGCCUUGUACACACCGCCCGUCACACCAUGGGAGUGGGUUGCAAAAGAAGUAGGUAGCUUAACCUUCGGGAGGGCGCUU
rnacentral:rRNA from 1 species